CCUACGGGAGGCAGCAGUAGGGAAUUUUGCGCAAUGGGCGAAAGCCUGACGCAGCAACGCCGCGUGAUCGAGACGCCCUUCGGGGUGUAAAGAUCUGUCAGUGGGGACGAAACUUGACGGUACCCACAGAGGAAGCACCGGCUAACUCCGUGCCAGCAGCCGCGGUAAUACGGGGGGUGCAAGCGUUGUCCGGAAUCAUUGGGCGUAAAGAGUUCGUAGGCGGCACGUAAAGUCGUGUGUUAAAGGCAGAGGCUCAACUUCUGUACGGCACUGGAUACUUGCGAGCUAGAAUGCGGUAGAGGUAAAGGGAAUUCCUGGUGUAGCGGGGAAAUGCGUAGAUAUCAGGAGGAACAUCGGUGGCGUAAGCGCGUUACUGGGCCGUAAUUGACGCUGAGGAACGAAAGCCAGGGUAGCAAAUGGGAUUAGAUACCCGUGUAGUC
rnacentral:rRNA from 1 species